AAUACGAAGGGACCUAGCGUAGUUCGGAAUUACUGGGCUUAAAGAGUUCGUAGGUGGUUGAAAAAGUUGGUGGUGAAAUCCCAGAGCUUAACUCUGGAACUGCCAUCAAAACUUUUCAGCUAGAGUAUGAUAGAGGAAAGUAGAAUUUCUAGUGUAGAGGUGAAAUUCGUAGAUAUUAGAAAGAAUACCAAUUGCGAAGGCAGCUUUCUGGAUCAUUACUGACACUGAGGAACGAAAGCAUGGGUAGCGAAGAGGAUUAGAUACCCUCGUAGUCCAUGCCGUAAACGAUGUGUGUUAGACGUUGGAAAUUUAUUUUCAGUGUCGCAGCGAAAGCGAUAAACACACCGCCUGGGGAGUACGACCGCAAGGUUAAAACUCAAGUGAAUUGACGGGGACCCGCACAAGUAGUGGAGCAUGUGGUUUAAUUCGAAGAUACGCGCAGAACCUUACCAACACUUGACAUGUUCGUCGCGACUUUAAGAGAUUAAAGUUUUCGGUUCGGCCGGACGAAACACAGGUGCUGCAUGGCUGUCGUCAGCUCGUGUCGUGAGAUGUUGGGUUAAGUCCCGCAACGAGCGCAACCCUCACUUUUAGUUGCCAUCAUUUAGUUGGGCACUCUGAAAGAACUGCCAGUGAUAAGCUGGAGGAAGGUGGGGAUGACGUCAAGUCCUCAUGGCCCUUACGUGUUGGGCUACACACGUGCUACAAUGGUAUCUACAACAGGAAGCAAAACUGCGAAGUUAAGCAAAUCCUUAAAAGAUACCUCAGUUCGGAUUGCACUCUGCAACUCGAGUGCAUGAAGCUGGAAUUACUAGUAAUCGUGGAUCAGCGUGCCACGGUGAAUGCGUUCCCGGGUCUUGUACACACCGCCCGUCACACCAUGGGAGUUGGUUCUACCUUAAGGCAAGGUUUAAAACCCUUGACCACGGUAUAGUCAGC
rnacentral:rRNA from 1 species